rnacentral:rRNA from 1 species
UACAGAGGUCCCAAGCGUUGUUCGGAUUCACUGGGCGUAAAGGGUGCGUAGGUGGUCGGGUAAGUCUGAUGUGAAAUCUCCGAGCUUAACUCGGAAACUGCAUCGGAUACUAUUCGGCUCGAGGGUUGGAGGGGGGACUGGAAUGCUUGGUGUAGCAGUGAAAUGCGUAGAUAUCAAGCGGAACACCAGUGGCGAAGGCGAGUCCCUGGACAACUCCUGACACUGAGGCACGAAAGCUAGGGGAGCAAACAGG